rnacentral:rRNA from 1 species
UACGAAGGGUGCAAGCGUUACUCGGAAUUACUGGGCGUAAAGCGUGCGUAGGUGGUUUGUUAAGUCUGUUGUGAAAGCCCCGGGCUCAACCUGGGAAUGGCAAUGGAUACUGGCAAGCUAGAGUGCGGUAGAGGGUAGUGGAAUUCCCGGUGUAGCGGUGAAAUGCGUAGAGAUCGGGAGGAACACCAGUGGCGAAGGCGGUUCUCUGGGCAUUACCUGACGCUGAGGAGCGAAAGUGUGGGGAGCGAACAGG